rnacentral:rRNA from 1 species
GACGAACGCUGGCGGCGUGCUUAACACAUGCAAGUCGAACGGUAAGGCCCUUCGGGGUACACGAGUGGCGAACGGGUGAGUAACACGUGGGUGAUCUGCCCUGCACUUCGGGAUAAGCCUGGGAAACUGGGUCUAAUACCGGAUAGGACCACUGCCUGCAUGGGUGGUGGUGGAAAGCUUUUGCGGUGUGGGAUGGGCCCGCGGCCUAUGAGCUUGUUGGUGGGGUGAUGGCCUACCAAGGCGACGACGGGUAGCCGGCCUGAGAGGGUGACCGGCCCCACUGGGACUGAGAUACCGCCGAGACUGCUACGGGAGGCAGCAGUGGGGAAUAUUGCACAAUGGGCGCAAGCCUGAUGCAGCGACGCCGCGUGAGGGAUGACGGCUUUCGGGUUGUAAACCUCUUUCAGCACCGACGAAGCGCAAGUGACGGUAGGUGCAGAAGAAGGACCGGCCAACUACGUGCCAGCCGCCGCCGUAA